rnacentral:tRNA from 1 species
GUGGGUAUAGCUCAGUGGUAGAGUGCAUGCUUAGCAUGCACAAAGUCCUGAGUUCAAUUCCUAGUGCCUGUG